GAUGAAGAACGUAGCUAAAUGCGAUAAGUAGUGUGAAUUGCAGAAUUCAGUGAAUCAUCGAGUCUUUGAACGCACAUUGCGCCCUCUGGUAUUCCGGAGGGCAUGCCUGUCCGAGCGUCAUUGCUGCCCUCAAGCACGGCUUGUGUGUUGGGCCCCGCCCCCCGAUCCCGGGGGGCGGGCCCGAAAGGCAGCGGCGGCACCGCGUCCGGUCCUCGAGCGUAUGGGGCUUUGUCACCCGCUCUGUAGGCCCGGCCGGCGCCUGCCGAUCAACCAAACUUUUUUCCAGGUUGACCUCGGAUCAGGUAGGGAUACCAGCUGAACUUAAGCAUAUCAAUAAGCGGAGGA
rnacentral:misc_RNA from 1 species